rnacentral:rRNA from 1 species
CAGCAGCCGCGGUAAUACCGGCGGCCCGAGUGGCGGUCACUCUUAUUUGGCUUAAAGCGUCCGUAGCCGGGUUGGGAAGUCCUCCGGGAAAUCUGGCCGCUUAACGGUCAGAAUGCCGGAGGAUACUCCCAGCCUAGGGAGCGGGAGAGGCCGAGGGUAUUCCCGGAGCAGGGGUGAAAUCCUAUAAUCCCGGGAGGACCACCUGUGGCGAAGGCGCUCGGCUGGAACGCGUCCGACGGUGAGGGACGAAGGCCAGGGGAGCAAACCGGAUUAGAUACCCGGGUAGUCCUGGCUGUAAACGAUGCGGACUUUGUGUCGGACAAGCUAUGAGCUUGUCCGGUGCCGGAGGGAAACCGUUAAGUCCGCCGCCUGGGGAGUACGGCCGCAAGGCUGAAACUUAAAGGAAUUGGCGGG